rnacentral:rRNA from 1 species
GAUGAACGCUGGCGGCGUGCCUAAUACAUGCAAGUCGAGCGAACAGACGAGGAGCUUGCUCCUUUGACGUUAGCGGCGGACGGGUGAGUAACACGUAGGUAACCUACCUAUAAGACUGGGAUAACUUCGGGAAACCGGAGCUAAUACCGGAUAAUAUUUCGAACCGCAUGGUUCGAUAGUGAAAGAUGGCUUUGCUAUCACUUAUAGAUGGACCUGCGCCGUAUUAGCUAGUUGGUAAGGUAACGGCUUACCAAGGCAACGAUACAUAGCCGACCUGAGAGGGUGAUCGGCCACACUGGAACUGAGACACGGUCCAGACUCCUACGGGAGGCAGCAGUAGGGAAUCUUCCGCAAUGGGCGAAAGCCUGACGGAGCAACGCCGCGUGAGUGAUGAAGGUCUUCGGAUCGUAAAACUCUGUUAUUAGGGAAGAACAAACGUGUAAGUAACUGUGCACGUCUUGACGGUACCUAAUCAGAAAGCCACGGCUAACUACGUG